rnacentral:rRNA from 1 species
AUUGAACGCUGGCGGCAUGCCUUACACAUACAAGUCGAACGGCAGCACGGGAGCAAUCCUGGUGGCGAGUGGCGAUCGGGGGAGUAAUAUAUCGGAACGUGCCCAGUCGUGGGGGAUAACGCAGCGAAAGCUGUGCUAAUACCGAAUACGUUAUUAGGAUGAAAGCGGGGGAUCGCAAGACCUCGCGCGCUUGGAGCGGCCGAUAUCAGAUCAGCUAGUUGGUGGGGUAAAGGCCCACCAAGGCGACGAUCUGUAGCUGGUCUGAGAGGACGACCAGCCACACUGGAACUGAGACACGGUCCAGACUCCUACGGGAGGCAGCAGUGGGGAAUUUUGGACAAUGGGCGCAAGCCUGAUCCAGCAAUGCCGCGUGCAGGAUGAAGGCCUUCGGGUUGUAAACUGCUUUUGUACGGAACGAAACGGCCCUUUCUAAUACAGGGGGCUAAUGACGGUACCGUAAGAAUAAGCACCGGCUAACUACGUGCCAGCCGCCGCAGUAA